ACGCUUUCGCUCCUCAGCGUCAGUAAUGGCCCAGAGAUCCGCCUUCGCCACCGGUGUUCCUCCUGAUAUCUGCGCAUUUCACCGCUACACCAGGAAUUCCGAUCUCCCCUACCACACUCUAGCCUGCCCGUAUCGGAUGCAGACCCGGGGUUAAGCCCCGGGCUUUCACACCCGACGUGACAAGCCGCCUACGAGCUCUUUACGCCCAAUAAUUCCGGACAACGCUUGCGCCCUACGUAUUACCGCGGCUGCUGGCACGUAGUUAGCCGGCGCUUCUUCUGCAGGUACCGUCACUCUCGCUUCUUCCCUGCUGAAAGAGGUUUACAACCCGAAGGCCGUCAUCCCUCACGCGGCGUCGCUGCAUCAGGCUUUCGCCCAUUGUGCAAUAUUCCCCACUGCUGCCUCCCGUAGGAGUCUGGGCCGUGUCUCAGUCCCAGUGUGGCCGGUCGCCCUCUCAGGCCGGCUACCCGUCGUCGCCUUGGUAGGCCAUUACCCCACCAACAAGCUGAUAGGCCGCGGGCUCAUCCUUCACCGCCGGAGCUUUCCAGUCCNGGAGAUGCCUNCCGAACUNNUAUCCGGUAUUAGACCCCGUUUCCAGGGCUUGUCCCAGAGUGAAGGGCAGAUUGCCCACGUGUUACUCACCCGUUCGCCACUAAUCCACCCCGAAGGGCUUCAUCGUUCGACUUGCAUGUGUUAAGCACGCCGCCAGCGUUCGUCCUGAGCCAGGA
rnacentral:rRNA from 1 species